rnacentral:tRNA from 1 species
GGCCGGUUGGCCCAAUGGCAAGGCGUCUGACUACGAUUAAUUAUGUUAUCAGGAGAUUCUGGGUUCGACCCCCAGGCUGGUCA